ACUACAGAUUCCUCAUCUAACCUGCACCAGGUGUUCUGCAUCAGUUACUAGGAUUUAAUCUCAACCAACCUUGUUUGGCACAUUAUGAAGGAGAUGCCAUCGCCUGAACUCUUAUCCACAGGCAUCUCAUCUGCACCACAGACCAACUUGCAUGGAACUCAACCAGAGAGGGCUCCUGUCCAAUUACCCUUCAUACUCCUUGUAGUGCUGUGACCAGGGCCUUCUUCCCCCAUUACCCUCCCCACAUAUACCUCUGCUAUUGGGAAUAGGCUGUUUGUGGCUGGAAACCACAUUGAGCUUUGGCCUGAAACACUCUUCCCUGGUCAAGCAAAGGAGCCAUCCCUUUUUUUCCAACAGUGUUACCCAGAGGCACCCAAUAUCUCUGUAGUCUCAACAUGAGGAGAACCAAAGAGCAGAAAAUGUGAAGGAGACCAGGGGAGACCAGGGCGUCACUUAACAUUGCCCAGACAGGAUUCUGGAGGAGUUCCUGAGCCUGCUGGGGUUAAAGGUACCUCUGCUGGCCAGCCAAGGGGCCGAAGGGAUGGUAUGGGCGAGAGGUGGCAGGCUCACCUGAGGAAGAAGAAAUAGGAGUAAUCCUGGACCACGGUAUGGGAGUGACAGGAGAAGUAGCCCAGAACGGUGAGGUUGAGGCUGGAGCCCCGGGGCACUUCGAGCAUGCUGUCCCACGCCUGGUGGCACAGCAUCUCGAUCUCAGCAGAGUAGAAGAGCCCCGCGUCGCUGGCUUCAUACUGCCAGGGCAGGUGAUGGCGUCCUCAGUAAAACCAGUUAAUUCCAUGGCCAAGGGCACAUUGCUGUAUUCCCGUUGCGAUCAAAGAAGAGAUGCUAUGAAAAUCACUGAUCAGAAGCAAUGCUACAGGAAGUACCACGAAGCUGGAAAAUGAGUUCUGUGGACAGAAUUCCUGGAUGAAGCACUGUGGGGCAGGAAAGGCAGAUCUACACCUAGAGUGUAUAUACUCCAGUGAGGACAAGUCUCUGCUCCCUCCAAGAUGGAAGAGGUUCAGUGUAGUCACUUAAGUCAUUUCAGUCACUCAGUUGUGACUGACUCUCUGCAGCCUCACGGACUGCAGCACGCCAGGCUUCCCUGUUCAUCACCAACUCCCAGAGCUUGCUCAAACUCAUGUCCAUUGAGUCAGUGAUGCCAACCAAACAUCUCAUCCUCUGUCAUCCCCUUUCCUCCUGCCUUCAAUCCUUCCGAGCAUCAGAGUCUUUUCAAAUGAGUCAGUUCUUCACAUCAGUGGCCAAAGUAUUGGAUCUUCAGGAUCAUUUCUUCCAAUGAAUAUUCAGGACAGAUUUCCUUUAGGAUUAACUGGUUUGAUUUCUUUGCAAUCCAAGGGACUCUCAAGGGUCUUCUGCAACACCACAGUUCAAAAGCAUCAAUUCUUUGGUUCUUAGCCUUCUUUAUGGUCCAACUCUCACAUCCAUACAUGACUACUGGAAAAACCAAAGCUUUGACUAGACGGACCUUUGUCAGCCAAGUAAUGUAUCUGAUUUUUAAUAUGCUGUCAGGUUGGUCAUAGCUUUUUUUCCAAGGAGCAAGCAUCUUUUAAUUUCAUGACUGCAAUCACCAUCUGCAGUGAUUUUGGAGCCCCCAAAAAUAAAGUCUCUCACUGUUUCUAUUGUUUCCCCAUCUAUUCGCCAUGAAGUGAUGGGACUGGAUGCCAUGAUCUUCGUUUUUUGAAUGUUGAGUUUUAAGCCUUUUCAGCUUUUUUCACUCUCCUGUUUCACUUUCAUCAAGAGGCUAUUUGGUUCCUCUUCACCUUCUACCAUAAGGAUGGUGGCAUCUGCAUAUCUGAGGUUAUUGAUAUUUCCCCUGGCAGUCUUGAUUCCAGCUUGUGGAAUGAUCCAGCCCAUCAUUUUGCAUGGUGUGCUCUGCAUAUAAGCUCAAUAAGCAGGGUGACAGUAUACAGCCUUGACGUACUCCUUUCCCAAUUGAGAACCAGUCCGUUGUUCCAUGUCUGGUUCCAGCUAUUGCAUCUUAUCCACAUACAGAUUUCUCAGGAGACAGGUUAGAUGGUCUGCUAUUCCC
ensembl:lncRNA